CCGGUAGCUCAGUCGGUAGAGCACCUGACUGUUAAUCAGGGGGUCGCUGGUUCGAGCCCAGCCCGG
rnacentral:tRNA from 1 species